rnacentral:piRNA from 1 species
AGAAAGAUGUAGUUGGGGCUUUAG